GUGGCUUCUCCGGGGGCCUCGGCUAACCUGCGCACUCCCUGCAAAUCGGCCUGGGUCGGGAGCGCAUCCCGUUUCAGCCCCCGACUGCGGAGCCCCCUGGUUUGGAGCAGCGCCGAAGGACCCACCGGCCACCCUUCCCGUUAGUAACAAGCUGGAGGGAGUGAAAGGAGUCCCAUCCAUAAGCCCAACGCCACCAUCCAGAGGGCUUUACAUCAGAAAAGCACGGAUGGCAAAGCGGCACGUGGCUACUCAUUCAUUCACUCAGCAGCCAGUUUACUGAACCUUCACCAUGUGCCAAGCACUGUGCCAGGUGCUGGGGAUACAGAGCAGAGUCCAGCAGAACACUAUUCACCCUGCCCUAGGAGCUUGCAAUCUAGUGCGGGAGGCAGACGAAAAAGAAUUGAAAAAAUAAUGACAUUUGGGAUAAGGCCUGUGCAGGAAAGAAGAGGGUGCAAAUUGUGUAGUUAGCAAAGGAGGAGGUGGCAUUUAAGCUGAGCCCUAAAGUUAUGAAAGAUGCAACCAUGGGAAGAGCCAGAAAAAAGCUUUCCAGAAAGAGGGAGCAGCUGUAUGAAAGCCAGAAGGAGUGGGCAAUCUUGAUGCCUUGGAACUAAGAGGUGGUGAUUGUGAUUGGCACCAGGAGAGCAGGGGAGAAUAACAUACUGUAAGCCUGGACAGGUUGGCAGGGACCAGAUCGUGGACUACAUCCUAGUCAAUAAGCAGACCGUUUUAUUCCAAAGUCAACGGGAGGCCAUUGACUGAAUGGCUUUAUCCCAGGGCGUGACAUGAUCUGAUUUAUAUUUCUUUUGAAUUUCUUUUUUGGGAGAUAAAUGUAGAUUCACACACAUUUGUAAGAAAUAAUACAGAGGUCGUAUGUACCCCUUGCCCAGUUUCCCCCAAUGCAAAACUAGAACAAGAACACAACCAGAAUAUUGACAUCAGUAAAAUCUACCCAUCUUAGUCAGAUUUUCCUGGUUUUACUUGUACUCUGUGUGUGUGUGUGUGUGUGUAUGAUUCUGUACAAUUUUAUCACGUGGUGUAGGCUCAUGUGUCCACCAUCACAGUCAAGAUACAAAAUAGUUCCAUCAUUACAAGGAUCCAGCCCGUUGCUCCUUUAUACCCACAGCCAGCUCCUCAGCCUCCCCAGUCCUUCGCCAUUGGUGACCGUUAAUGUCUCCCAUUUCUAUAGUUUUGUCAUUUCGAGAGUUUUAUGUAAAUGAAUCAUACAGUAUGCAACCUUUGGGGAUUGGCUUUUUUCAUUCAGCUUAAUUCCCUUGAGAUUCUUCCAAGUUGUUGCAUCCAUAGUCCAUUCUUUUUUAUUGCUGAGUCGUAUUCCAGGUCUGAUUUAUAUCUUUAAGAGACCAUUGCCGCUACCAUGUGGAGAAAGGUCCAGAGGAGACUGAGAAUCGAAACAGGGGGACUAAUUAGGAGGCUUGCCCAAUAGUCCCUCUCAAAGCUGAUGGUGUACAUUAGGAUGGUGCCUGUGGAGGGAAGUGGAAAGAUUUGCUGGAACAGGUUUGAAGAGGGAAUCGGAGUUGAAGUGGAGGCAGCAUAGUGUAGACAAUUGUUUUGAGACAUUUCAUGGUGGAGGUGAAUAGAAGUGGAGCGGAAUGAGAAGGAGAAGUAGAGACAACAGGAGGUUCCUGUCUCUUUUAAUUUGGGAGAUGAGAGCCUGUUGAGGAAUAAUCAGUAGGGUGGGACUGCUGAUGAGAGAAGGGCUUACUAAAGGAGUCGAGUCCCUGCCUAGCAGAGAUGAAAUGAGAGCUGGAUUCCACGUGGAGGAUAGGCCCGCCACCUGCUGAAAGGCCUUUCACUGUAAGGACCAUGGAUGUCUAUGCUGAUCAGGGGGCCGGCUGUAUGUAUAGAUCAAGCGAAUCCAGUCUGAUGACUCCUGUUUUCGCCUGUGGUGCACAAACUGGGCACUGGCCUCGCUUAGGAGAGAGCAUAAGCCCUUGCAAAGUUCCCUCCUCUCUCCCUGGCACCAGGGGCCUGGGCCUUCCCUUUUCCCAUUCCAAGCCCUCAGCAGCAGUGAAGUUUGGUUUUGGGGGAUGGCAAGAACUUCACACUUGUGAGGAAAAGAAGAAGGCCGUGUGCCCCACCCUGAUUUCGAGAAGGCUCUGAAUGUUCAGCUCCGCUUCAGGCAACUCCCUGAAGAGAAUACCAGCCCAGUGCCCUGCCCCAAAAUAGCUAAGAAGCACCCAGAUCCCAAGAUGGAGGGCUCUGCAUGAAGGGCCCUCUCCCAGGGAACCUUCUGUCCAUCCUUUGGUGCUCAAUCGGUGUUAGUUGUGGCUCAUUGUUCACAAGAUCCCUUUCUUCCUCCCCCUUCCUUUUCCGUCUUUACUUCCCCGUCCUUUCUGCCCCCCACCUUCUUUCCCACCUCCCCCACUUCCUUCCUCUCUUCCUCCCUUUUGCAGAUAUUUCCAGUGUGUUCCUAGUAGGUUCAAGGCACGGAUCUCACCUGGCCCCUGCUUGGUUUACACCCAAGGCCAGUCCCAUCUGCCUCUUAACAGUUCAUCUCCUUGGAUUUGAACUCAACUUUUGUGGGUCAUGGAAACACAUGGUUCCACUUGAAAUAUAUGGGGGACUGUGUUGCAGACUAAGCAAAACGGAUAAAAGGAAAGAGGCUGCCCAAAUUGGGAACUUGUGUGCUACAUUCUGGUAAUGUUUUUAGCAUCUAGAAGCAAAAAGAAAUUAAAUAGACUACAAUCAGAUGGUAUGAGCUCAUAUCUGAUCUUUUUCAUUUCUGUUUGAGUAAGAAAAUAGACAUGAGGAGAGGGUCUUAGAUUUUAACAGAAUUUAAAGCACCCUUAGAAGGAAAUAUGAAGCAUUUAUCAGCAUAUAAAGUAAUCAAGGCCUUUGCCUCCUCUUCCAAAAGUACCAUGAUGACAGAUGAUUCUAAGUGAUUGAAAGUGUGUUACUUAACCAGACAUGCAUCAUUUUAUUUACUCUUCGUUUUAUUUACUCUUCCUGUCAGAUACUAUUAUCCCUACUGUACAGAUGAGAAAACUGAGGCUCAAAGAGGUUAAGUAACUUUGAGUCAGAAUUUGAAACCAAGCAACAUGGCUCCAGAGCCCACAAUGCAAACCAAUAUACUACGCUUCCAAAUUGUUCAUCACUUUUACUGCGGUCCUCCAAAGUGGCUGCUUCUUUCUGCAUGGCUUGCCAAGCGGUGCCACGUCCGCACCCAGGAUCUGAACUGGCAAACCCCGGGCCGCCGAGAAGCGGAACGUGCAAACUUAGCUGCAGUGCCACUGGGCCAGCCCUGGCCUAUUUUAAAGCAAAUGUAACACAUCACAUCAUUCCAUCCAGAAAUACUUGAGUAUAUACUGCUAAAAGAGAAAGACUUUCUUCUUUUUUUAACAUUCCUUUUAUUUCUUUUUCUUGUGUGAUUGCACUGGCUGGAACCUCCAGUACAACGGUG
ensembl:lncRNA